CUGAAACACUUGAAGAUCAAUAAUGUUAUUAGAACUUUAUCUGAAUGUUCAUAUUAAUGACAAAAAUCUCAUGGGCAAUCAAGGUGACAGAAGUAUAUUUGCAAUGAUUCGCACCAAAAAUGAAUCUGUAAAAACACUGGCGGGCUAAAAACAAACUCUAUUUCUGAAUACUACAAAUGCCAAAGUGAAAAAGGAACCAUCGGCGACUAGUUCAGUAAAUGUCGUGAAAACUAUCCUUCACUAAUUGCUUCCAGAAUGUGCAUUCCUGUUGCUGAAAUUUUUGCAGGCGAGAUGGAGGACUAUGAUCCAAAACCCUGUAGUUGCAAUCUAGAAAUUUGUUCUUGUGUACGCUGAAGAAAGAAAUAACCAGCCCCCAAGAAGCAUUACCACACCUAUGAAAUGGAAAUGAUGAUUUUGUGUUUUUAACUUGAUCUCACACCCUGCCUUGUCUUUAUCAUUCUUUUGAGCGUUGCAAGCCAGAAAUUACACUCAUCCCACUCGCUUGUCGUAAGAAGUACCUGGAUUUGCAGGGCUGUGCUAAAAUCAUUCUUAUCUAAUGCCUGACAGAGCUGAAUAAGUUUGUCAGAAGCAUUUUUUGAUAUAUCACUGCUGUUGAGCUUCGCAAACAAGGCGCCAAUUUUCCUUGAAUUGUCUUCUAUUUCGCGUUUUCGGGCUGGAUUUGCACGUGAACCUCCCAAAGCCUCUGAUGUCUCAUUAAAAAGUCUUGUCAACGUUGUAAUGACAGGUUUCUGAUUAGCAGGUACAUUUGAAGUAUCAACUGUCUGUACUGUAGGUGGUGGAGCAGCUGGUGCCGCUGCUGCUUGUACUGAUGCUGACUGAGUAGGACUAGGAGGUUGCAUUGAGCUCAUUCCAGGUCUUUGAACAACCCCAGAAUUUGUUACAGGCCUAAAUCCCAUGGGUGUUGCAGUGGGGGCCACAACCUGUGGUAUUUUAUGGCCAGGCACAGGGCCCACUUGAGAUGUAAUAGGACCUUGUGAACCAGCUGGAGGCUGUACAGGCUGAUAUGUAGCAUUAGCAGUCCCAGGAUAUAAGUGAGAACCCAAUGUCGGUUGUUGGUACUGCUCUGCAUUUCUCAGAAUAGGGACAUUUGAUGGAACAAAAGUCCUCACAGCUUGUUGAGUGGCAGCUUGAGGUGGAGCAAAAUUUGCCUGAGGAACCUGAGGUGCCUGAGAUGGAAUGAACAUUCCAGGUUGUGAGGCAGGCGGGUAAGUUGCAGACUGUGGUGCAGGCUGAUAUGGAGUAGGAGCACCAUAUCCUCUUCCAUACGAAGGACCAAGAGUUUGUUGAUAAUUUUCACUGUAUGGACUGCCAGGAACAUUUUGAUGCACUUGUGAUGGUGCAUUUUCCUGUACAAUGAAUGGCAUCAAGUUAAAGCAAUAACUGUCAUUCACAAUGAGCAUCAUCAUUAUCCCAAUAUAAGAAGAAAUAAAAUGCAAUGCGUAGGAGAGAAGCAAAGUCCUAGAGAACCCACCGGAUAAUAGUGCUGAGAUGCAUCAGUCAUACCAAAACUAUGUUGUUCAGCAUACAUUAACCCACCUUGCUGUUGGGAGUUUUCAAAAGCCGAGCUCUUGGCAUCUUUAUCAGGUUCUGUGGAGAGGGAAAUACAAUCCCGUAGGAUUAUAAGUUCAGGAGACAAUUCGUCAGACCCCAAAAGUUUGAGGUACUCCAUUGCUGUUGAUAAAAGCCCCUGACUGGCUAAAAUUUCAGCAUAUUUCUCAACAAGCUUGCACAAAGAUGCACUAAAUUGCUUCUGACCACUUGCCAGAGCAAGGACAAUAGUCUUCUCCAUCAAAUCCUGAAGGAGUUCAACAUAUGAUUUGCCUUCGCGUUCAGUUGUCAGGUUCCUUGACCAAAUUUCAACAGUUUUGUCUAUAUUUCCCGCACAAAUAAAACAAAGAGUUGCUGCCAAAGUAUUGCCAGCAGCCAUCAGCUUAGCUGCAAGUGAAUUGCAUAGCAGACUCCAUUCCUCAUUCUGUGCGAAUGUACACAAAAGAGCAAGUGUUUCUUUCCAGUAUUUCAGAGGCCUGGUGUUUACAAGACUCAUGAGAUCAUUGUUCACCAUCGCAGAUACAAUCUUCAAGUAAGGAGAACGGCUCAUCUUAAGGUACUGAUCACGAGUAUUCUCCCAUAGGGAACUACCACCAACAUGAGCAAUAACUAAAGCAUCAGCAAUUUUAUUUGCAGAUAUGCACUGUCCAACAGCACCCUUAUAGUCCCCCACUACCAAAGCACUCUGAAUACUAUCAUCAAAUGUUGGAUCAGCACUCUCCUCCAGUCCAUCUGGUUCUUGUUUUAUUUCUUCCGCAUAGGAAGCAGAAUGUCCAGCGCCAAUGUUAUUGAUAGAAGUAAAUUUAGGUGUAUCAGCUUUGGGGCUAGGCAGAUUGUUAAAGAAAUCUUCCCCAUCAUCUGCAGAGAAAACAGUGGCCUCUUUAACACUCUCAUAUCCCACUUUAUCUGUUGCUGUAUCAUCAAGCCGAAUGGAAUCUAUUUGUUGGGAGAUAUCAUUCUGUACAACAUCUUUCUCUUCAACAGGUACACUGAAACCAAGGUGGGUAAGCAUCUUUGUCCUUGCUGUCCCAUCUUCUUCAAACAUAACCUUCAAGAAGCCCCAAAUUUCACGUUCAUCCUCAGAUUCAGACUCCUGAGACUUUUUCUCACAUAAAGCUUUUAAUGAUGACUUCUCCCCAUUUUGUAUGGCAGCUUCAAAUUCAGAAGAACGACUCACCAAACUGUGCUCUGUAACUAAGUUAUGCAAAAGGACCUCCGAAGCACUUGCAGAGGAUGACCUAGGGUGAAAUGAAACAAGCUUCCCUCCAAAGCCAAAAGACACCCCAGCUGGGCGUUUAUACCAUUUUGGAGCUCUUAGUGUGACUGCUCCAAAAUCAUUCUCACCAGCACUGUAUCGACUGCAACCCUCAAUGUUGUAAAUGCCAAUCUUUCCAUCAAAAGAUGAGGCUGAGAUCACCCCUGGUAUCUUUGGAUACCAGUGCACAUCAAAAUUCCAGUUCGCACCAGCAGGCAAUUCACGGACAAUCUCUCCAGUUAUAGUGUUCCAGCAAAUAGUUCGAUUAUCUUUAGCACAGGUAAGCAAAUAGGAGCUGUCACUUGGACACCAUGACAUCGCAAUCACACCCUUAGUGUGCCCAACAAACUCUUUCACUGGUGUCAUUGUGUUCCGCAUAUCCCAAAGCCGCAAAGCAGGAGAGCUGUCAUCAUCAGAUGCAAUAAUAAGCUGAGUGGCAACAUCAGGAUGCCACUGUAAAACAGAACACCUCCUUCUAACUGAAUCUUCAACAGAUAUCACUGGUUUUUGCUUCUUUAGGUCCCAAACAACGGUUAUUCCAUUGAGGGAAGUGGAUGCCAAUAUAUGUUGAACCUUGCAAUUCCAAGAAACAUAAGAAAUUUCACCUUGUGCAGCAGAACCACUACCCUUUAAAGGAGGGAAAUGAGAAGGUUCUGAAGGUGCAGCCAAAUCCCAAAUGCAAAUUUCACCAUCGUCGGCACCAGAUGCAAGUAGGUUAGGGGUAAAAGUGUUAAAUUCAAGACCACGAACAGGCCCUUUAUGAUUUGAGAGAUGUCCAACAAGGGCACCUUCACUCGUCUCUGAACGGAUCAGAUUCAGAGGAUUCCAAAUAUCAAUACUGCCAUCAACGAGCCCACCCGCAAUGAGUCCAAGAGAAUACUGGUCGGACCCGGAUCCAUUUCUUCCCCAAGCGAGACGGUUAAAUCUCUCGGAGCUCUGAAACUCACCAACCAAAGGAAGAUCACUAUCAUCUGAUUGAAAAUCAAGCUUGAAGAUCUCGAGACUAGCGGACGAGCUGAAGGACAGAUCCACUGCUCCCGCCAUCGUCCCCGCUGCCAUAUACGGUGCAUCCGGCGCUAGCGCCACCGACGCCGAUCUAUUCACCGAUUUUAUACACGCCAUACUAAUAAAACCGCAAAAAAACGGAAGUGAAAAAGAAAAUCUACCUCCCUAUCAAACCUAUGUAUAAGGAAAGGUGGGGAAACGCCAAUUCCAAUAGAGAAAUGGAGAGAGAAAGUGGAUCUGAGAAUGGGAAGUAUGGGAAUUGCAGAAAUGAGAGAUGAAAUUAGGGUUUGAUCUGGAAAUUGUUUAGGGAUUUUGACACUGUCGAUCUCUGCUCUCUUUAUCUCUCACUUUCGCUCGCUCUGUUCCUGUGUGUGAAAGAUAAUUAAGUGAAAAUUUUCUUGUUUUUGUUUUGGCGUUUUGUGGGAUUUUAAGUUUCCGAGUUUCAGCUCCAACACGGGCUAUU
rnacentral:misc_RNA from 1 species